rnacentral:rRNA from 1 species
GACGAACGCUGGCGGCGUGCCUAAUACAUGCAAGUCGAGCGAAUGAAUGGGAGCUUGCUCCUGUUCGUUAGCGGCGGACGGGUGAGUAACACGUGGGCAACCUGCCUGUAAGACUGGGAUAACUUCGGGAAACCGGAGCUAAUACCGGAUAGUUUCUUUCUUCACAUGAGGAAGGAUGGAAAGACGGCAUCUCGCUGUCACUUCCAGAUGGGCCCGCGGCGCAUUAGCUAGUAGGUGAGGUAACGGCUCACCAAGGCGACGAUGCGUAGCCGACCUGAGAGGGUGAUCGGCCACACUGGGACUGAGACACGGCCCAGACUCCUACGGGAGGCAGCAGUAGGGAAUCUUCCGCAAUGGACGAAAGUCUGACGGAGCAACGCCGCGUGAGUGAAGAAGGUUUUCGGAUCGUAAAACUCUGUUGUCAGGGAAGAACAAGUACCAGAGUAACUGCUGGUACCUUGACGGUACCUGACCAGAAAGCCACGGCUAACUACGUGCCAGCCGCCGCGGUAAAAC